GCAUUCCUUGCACUCCAUUACACUACAUUCACUUGAUCGGAAAGCAUGGUACUCACACUCGUCUUCAUAAUUGCGUCUCCUCUGGUUUCAAGUUGGCCUUUGUAAGCAUCGUUGUUUUACCCUACUUCACCUCACCAUAAAGAGUGAACUGCAACUUCUCGUCUGCGUGGUUUGAUGGAGAGGAGUUUAUACCAUCUGUCAACCCUGGCAAGCUGCUGAAGGCCUCAGUGCAGUGGAGCUGGUGAACGGAUAGCUCGACUGAAACAGAGAGGAGAGGAAUGACGAAACGGGCCUGAGGGACUUUAGCUCUGGCUGUUCCAACGAGUCGUCGGAUGUCUUUGAUAACGGUAACGGCUGUUUGUUCCCCAAGACCGUUGUUUAUCUCAUCUCAGAGCCAGAGUCUGGCUGGAGUAUACGUUUUAUAAGGCGUUUGGGGAUGUAGAUGCUUUUAAACAGCGCCGGUGUUACAAUAAUAUUAUUUGCUUUGUUGAAAAUGAUGAGUUGCACUUUGCACAGGAUUUUGUUGGAUAAACCAAAUUUUUUAAAGACUGAACAAAUAGCACAUUUCCUGAUGUAUUGUACUCUCGGUUGAUUGUAAAAAAAAGUGUUUUUGAAAAAUCUAAAUCAAAUCUCUCUCUUUCUCUGUGUUUACGAAUUGCAAACUGUAAUUCGUCGGGCUGUGGCUGUGGUCACAUGAUGGAGGAGGAGACCGGA